UUUCCGUUGGUGAACCAGCGGAGGGAUCAUUAAAGAGUUGAAAAACUCCCAAACCGUUUUGAACAUACCGUCAACGUUGCUUCGGCGGGUUGGACCCGGUCUCCUGUAUCCCCGGCCCUCACAGGCGUCCGCCGGAGGUACCUAACUCUUGAACUUUUUUCGCCACUCUGACUCUUUUUACAUAUUAAGUCAAAACUUUCAGCAACGGAUCUCUUGGUUCUG
rnacentral:misc_RNA from 1 species